AAAUGCUGCAGUGCUUGAGGAGAAUUAUGACAUGUAGUUGCCUAGGAUACAGACUAAGGAGAACUGCCCAGAUCCUAUGAUAUAAACAAUGCCCACUCAUGACAAAAAAAAAAAAAAAAAAAAAAAAAACCGCCUAAGAUGCAGCUCUGAAGAACUGGUACAAUCAUCAGGUUUUUAUCUAAAGGGCAGACACACAUCUCUGUCUGUGUGACUAACACAAUUCAAGCUCCAGACAUCUGAACAUCAUGAGGAUGGAAGCGGCGGGUCAGAAGAAAAGAGCCUCACAAAGCGUCAGUGUAUUCCAUUAUUAGCAUAGCUAAUGCCCAAGAAUGGUUUGAAACAUUGAGUCCAAAACAACUUAGAAAUUUACUAAUCAUUACUAUUCUUGUUCUCUUUUCUAAGGUCAGGAGGACAAAAGAAUAAACUUGUGAUUAUUUCUGACCUGAGUUUAAAGUUUAUUCUUCAAAUAAACCCUCCCGCAAAAAAAAAAAAAAAAA